rnacentral:rRNA from 1 species
UACGUAGGGGGCAAGCGUUGUCCGGAUUCAUUGGGCGUAAAGAGCGUGUAGGCGGCCAGACAGGUCCGUUGUGAAAACUCGAGGCUCAACCUCGAGAUGUCGAUGGAAACCGUCUGGCUAGAGUCCGGAAGAGGAGUGUGGAAUUCCUGGUGUAGCGGUGAAAUGCGCAGAUAUCAGGAAGAACACCUAUGGCGAAGGCAGCACUCUGGGACGGUACUGACGCUGAGACGCGAAAGCGUGGGGAGCGAACAGG